rnacentral:sRNA from 1 species
ACAGACCCAAACACAAAGUUUCACCACGAGAUCAUCAAACAGGAAGGAUGACCAAACGAAGCACGUGUUGAAAGUUAAACUUGAUUUUGAAUCAAGUUUAAUUAUUGGAUCAAUUAUCCAAUAAUUAAUUAUGGCCAAAUCCAAGUUUUAGAGUUUUCUCUAGAAAUAUCAUCAUCUUCCACCUCCUUAAACAUAAAAAUCUAGAUACUCUAAUAGAAUAAUCUAGAUAAUUUGAAUAAUGUAAUCUAGAUCUUAUGUAAGACCUCUCUAGACUUAGGAUUAAAAUAUUUUAGAUAUUUUGUAGUUUGGAGGCUAUAAAA